UCAGCGAGAAAACCUACAUCAAGGUACCAAACCUGCUGAAUUCCUCCACAAUUUUGUGUGUUUCUUUCAGAUUGCCAACACCUGCAGUAUUUUACCUUUUUGUCUCUCAUGGUCUCAGCUGAACACUGUGUAUCUUAAGGGUUUUAAUUGUGCUCUAUUUUGCAUGUUUGAUUGCUAAUCCUUUAUAAUUGGGUUUUUAAGUAGAAAGACCGCAAAUACUCCCAGAUCUCUGUGAAACAUAAUUUUAACUAAUUAAAUAUAGAUGGUACACAAAUAAUGCCUGCCUUUUUAACCUUUUGCUCUUGAACAAAUUACAUUUCAACAGCCACGAUUUUCCCACUUAGAGUAUUAAACAGCCUAUCCUAACAGUCCUUGACUACCUCUCAGAUCCAACUCUUUGUAUUGGCUUCAAUGUUGACCUAGUUUGCACAGAUAAUUUGAAUCAAUCGUUAAUGUAAAUUCAAAACAGAAGGAGCCAACGCACAUCAUCAGGCAGCUCUACUCAACUUUUCUUGAGGUCUUUGGCUCAGAAAUUGCUGGACCAGCCCUUCCUCUGGCAAUGCCUUGGGGUCCUCUUGUGCCUCGAAUUGAGCAGUUGACUGGUCUCUGGCAGUCCUCUGAGUGCCAAUAGUCUGUGACGUUUCUUUCUUGCCAAGCUUCUGAGGUGUGGUAGUGAUCUCCUCACCAGAAUGUACUCCUGUGAAAUAGAGCAUGCAAGAAUUCUAGAUGCCAAAAGAAGCUGAAUGACUGAAGAGAGAAGAGACACUACAAAAUUAAAAUAGCAAGUGCACAAAAUUGCAGAAAGAAAGUACUGAUACAAGCCAAAGUAAAAACCAUAACCCUCAAACUACAAGGAAAGUGUAACUUAUUUGACAGGGGAAUUUGCAAAUUGUGAAUGAGUGAAAUUGAUGAAUGAAAAAGUUUAAAUGAGAAUCCUUCAUAUGCUACUGAGCCA